rnacentral:rRNA from 1 species
GCAUAUCAAUAAGCGGAGGAAAAGAAACUAACAAGGAUUCCCCUAGUAACUGCGAGUGAAGCGGGAAAAGCUCAAAUUUAAAAUCUGGUGGUCUUCGGCCAUCCGAGUUGUAAUCUAGAGAAGUGUUACCCGCGUCGGACCGUGUACAAGUCUCCUGGAAUGGAGCGUCAUAGAGGGUGAGAAUCCCGUCUUUGACACGGACUACCGAGGCUUUGUGGUGCGCUCUCAAAGAGUCGAGUUGUUUGGGAAUGCAGCUCAAAAUGGGUGGUAAAUUCCAUCUAAAGCUAAAUAUUGGCGAGAGACCGAUAGCGAACAAGUACCGUGAGGGAAAGAUGAAAAGAACUUUGGAAAGAGAGUUAAACAGUACGUGAAAUUGCUGAAAGGGAAACGCUUGAAGUCAGUCGCGUUGGCCGGAAAUCAGCCUUCCUUUUGGUUGGUGUACUUUCUGGUUGACGGGCCAGCAUCAGUUUUGACCGGUGGAUAAAGUUGUGAGGAAUGUGGCAUCUUCGGGUGUGUUAUAGCCUCGCUUCGUAUACAUCGGUUGGGACUGAGGAACUCAGCACGCCGAAAGGCCGGGGUUCGCCCACGUUCGUGCUUAGGAUGCUGGCAUAAUGGCUUUAAUCGACCCGUCUUGAAACACGGACCAAGGAGUCUAACAUGCCUGCGAGUGUUUGGGUGGAAAACCCGAGCGCGUAAUGAAAGUGAAAGUCGAGAUCCUUGUCAUGGGGAGCAUCGACGCCCGGACCAGAAGUUUACGGACGGCCCUGCGGUAGAGCAUGUAUGUUGGGACCCGAAAGAUGGUGAACUAUGCCUGAAUAGGGUGAAGCCAGAGGAAACUCUGGUGGAGGCUCGUAGCGAUUCUGACGUGCAAAUCGAUCGUCAAAUUUGGGUAUAGGGGGCGAAAGACUAAUCGAACCAUCUAGUAGCUGGUUCCUGCCGAA